rnacentral:rRNA from 1 species
UACGGAGGGAGCUAGCGUUGUUCGGAAUUACUGGGCGUAAAGCGCGCGUAGGCGGCUUUGUAAGUUAGAGGUGAAAGCCCGGAGCUCAACUCCGGAACUGCCUUUAAAACUGCAUCGCUUGAAUCCAGGAGAGGUGAGUGGAAUUCCGAGUGUAGAGGUGAAAUUCGUAGAUAUUCGCAAGAACACCAGUGGCGAAGGCGGCUUACUGGUCCGGUUCUGACGCUGAGGCGCGAAAGCGUGGGUAGCAAACGGG